UUUUAAAGGUGUUAUAUUUACAAAAUUCAUUUUGGUAACCCUAUGAUUACCAUUCACAUAGGAUUCUGGGCAAGACUUUAGCUGGGCACCUCUGUUUGCUUAUUUUCAUUCAUUUAUACAUUUAUUUAUCUACAAACUAUUUAAUAGGGCAGCAAGUGAGGUCCUCCUGAAACCACCUUGAGUUGCUUCUACCAUAAAGGCAUUUAUUAUCCCAGGGCCUCAAGAAGAGGCUGAUCACAAGGCAAAGAAGCUCUCUCUCCAGCAGCUUUCUGGCAUUAAGAAGAAAGAUGGGGAAAUAUCAGUGUGGACUACUUCUGAGGAGAUCUGGUUGGUCCUUGCUUGGUCAGACACAGCCUUACCUUCAUUUCACUUGGCCCACUUCAGCCCCUCACUGAAUCAGACUGUCAAUAAGUAAGUACAAGAGGGAGUUCCCUGGUGGCCUAGCAGUUAGGGAUCCAGCAUUGUCACUGCUGUGACUCAGGUUCAAUCUCUAGCCCUGGGAACUUUUGCAUGCCACAGGUACAGCCAGAAAUAAAUACAAGAGUAUAAUUUUGGUAACAAAGACUAAUUAACUGCGUGCUUUUGCCACUUAGUGUGCUCAGUGCCAGAAAUGAAGACACGGUCUCAUCUCUUUGGCUUUACUCCUAGGGGGAACAUCACCCAGCUUGGUGGGGCAGCCCAUGUAAUGCCAAAAACAUCUAACAGCAGUGCCCCUUGGAAAUGUGCAGCACUUGACGGUUUACAGCCCUUUGUCCUCCUAAUCCUAUUGAUCCUCAUAGUAUUCUUAUUUCAUAAAUUGGACAAGUAUAAUUUCCAUUUUAUAGAUGAACGACUUGAAACUGAGACACCUAAGUCACUUGGCUGCGAUUGCACUCAGGAUUUCUGAUGCCUGGUUGAGGGCUCUUUUGCUAACGGUUUUUGCCUCUCAGCUCUGAAUGUUCCCUUCAAUUCCUGCUCUGCCACAAUGGUCAGAAUCCCCUGGAGCUCUUCUCCUUUACAGCGAGCACACCGUGUUAAGCUUUCUCGGUGGCAAGGCCUGGGAAGGGACAAUGCAGAAGGAAGAGGCUUCUGCGGGUUCCACUGCCACUUGUUGGUCACUGGUAUGGUUUCAAGGGUAUCUGGUGGUGUCUACCCCCGCCGUAGCUCCAGAGCACACAGGUCUUGGGCACCCUUGCAGUCCUGGCCUCGCCUGGUGAACACUCUCCCAUAAUCUCCCCACACGGUACCGCGCACUCUCUGCCCACUCAACUGCCCUCUGGCUGUGACUCACAUGUGCCCUGAUCCUCUCUGCUCACAUACCCCCUGCCCCUCAGGUUGGCCAAUGUGACAGGGACACUGGGGGUGCCAAGCCUCCUGGGAACAGUGACACUCUCUCUGCAGCUGUACACAUCUGGUCACAGGCUGCCGCUUACUUACUUCCUGGACAGCUGUUUCCUGCUCUCCGAGUGACUGUAGACCAGCCCUGCCUGGGAAAACAGACAAACUUCUCCUCCAUCCAAUGGAUUCAGUGAUCUUCUCUAACCAGACCCUGACUGAUAUACUCACCACCUCUUGAUGUGGAGUCACAGACAAGUGUGAAGAGACAUCAUGUGUCCAUGAUGAACAAAAAACUGCUGAGUUUUUCAUUUGCUUCCGGUGCCAAUGUAGGAGACAGAUCCAAAAACAAAUUUUGCUACAAUUCAUGUCAAAGAGUGAUACGCCUAUGUAAAACAUCCUUCUCUUGAGCUCUGAGACAAGGUGCUAAGAAUUGACUGUCAUCUGCCAGUGUGGGAAAGAAAGGGACAGGAAAGUUGUCUGAGGGAUACUUUGAGACACAACAGUCGUAAGCAGUGUAUUUGAGAGAAAUACCUGAUUGUCAUCAAAUAAGCUACAUUUCGUGGAGGCAGAAAAAUCAGGCCAAAGGAGCCCUUGGAUGUUACGCAGAACUCUCAGUAACUGAAGCCAGAAGUUAUCUGUGGACAGCUAUAGAGAAACAAGAGAACGGGAUUUUUUAAAUUUCCCUAUCUUUACAUGCCUCCCAGGACUCAGUCAAUCCUUCUGGGUUUGAAGCCUCCUGGAACAGAGGUGAUGUCUACCUGUAAUAACUCUUUCCCCGGAAAUAUCUGACUCACAACUGGCUCCAUGGUAAGCGGGGAAGCUCCUGGUGCCUGGUGGGAAGACACACACUGAACGCCAGCCCUUCCUCACACUGCCUCGGGCUGUGGAGAUGCUCAGGGAGUUACCCUCGUUGCUCUCUGGAAGGACAGUGACAUGGAGACCAGCAAACAAAGCACAAGAAAAAAGUGAAAAAAGAGGAGGUUGGGUCAGGAAGGACACGCAAGACGCUGACACAAGCAAGAGUGGAAUGGAAGAGCCACGCCCACAGCCUCUAAGCCUGCGAAGUGCUCCCAGCUCUAAGCUCUGCAGUGGAAUCGGCAGGGACAGCAAGGAGCCACCAAGGCCUGCCGGCACUACCGAAGACCUGCCUUUCUAGCUGGUGGUCAGUCAGCUGUGAAAAUGGGCCACACUUGGCAACAACAGAAGGACUCUGAGGCCUGAAGCAAUUUUUCUUUGAAAUCAGCUUGUAAAUUGCAGGGAGUCCAAAUAAAUUGACGCAUUUA